rnacentral:rRNA from 1 species
CUGCGUGGAGCCGACCUUGAAAUACCACCCUUUAAUGUUUGAUGUUCUAACGUGGACCCGUAAUCCGGGUUGCGGACAGUGUCUGGUGGGUAGUUUGACUGGGGCGGUCUCCUCCUAAAGAGUAACGGAGGAGCACGAAGGUUGGCUAAUCCUGGUCGGACAUCAGGAGGUUAGUGCAAUGGCAUAAGCCAGCUUGACUGCGAGCGUGACGGCGCGAGCAGGUGCGAAAGCAGGUCAUAGUGAUCCGGUGGUUCUGAAUGGAAGGGCCAUCGCUCAACGGAUAAAAGGUACUCCGGGGAUAACAGGCUGAUACCGCCCAAGAGUUCAUAUCGACGGCGGUGUUUGGCACCUCGAUGUCGGCUCAUCACAUCCUGGGGCUGAAGUAGGUCCCAAGGGUAUGGCUGUUCGCCAUUUAAAGUGGUACGCGAGCUGGGUUUAGAACGUCGUGAGACAGUUCGGUCCCUAUCUGCCGUGGGCGCUGGAGAACUGAGGGGGGCUGCUCCUAGUACGAGAGGACCGGAGUGGACGCAUCACUGGUGUUCGGGUUGUCAUGCCAAUGGCACUGCCCGGUAGCUAAAUGCGGAAGAGAUAAGUGCUGAAAGCAUCUAAGCACGAAACUUGCCCCGAGAUGAGUUCUCCCUGAGACUUA